UACGUAGGGUGCGAGCGUUGCCCGGAAUUACUGGGCGUAAAGCGUGCGCAGGCGGUUCUCCAAGUCCGUUGUGAAAGCCCCGGGCUCAACCUGGGAAUGGCAGUGGAAACUAGGGGACUGGAAUCUGGCAGAGGGGGGUGGAAUGCCGCGUGUAGCAGUGAAAUGCGUAGAGAUGCGGCGGAACACCGAUGGCGAAGGCAGCCCCCUGGGCUGAGAUUGACGCUCAGGCACGAAAGCGUGGGGAGCAAACAGG
rnacentral:rRNA from 1 species